UACGUAGGUGGCAAGCGUUGUCCGGAUUUACUGGGCGUAAAGAGCGCGCAGGCGGCUGGUCAAGUCCGAUGUGAAAUCUCCCGGCUUAACUGGGAAACUGCAUCGGAAACUGAUCGGCUUGAAGGUGGGAGAGGGUAGUGGAAUUCCAGGUGUAGCGGUGAAAUGCGUAGAUAUCAAGAGGAACACCUGCGGCGAAGGCGGGUUGCUGGGCCGACACUGACGCUGAGGCGCGAAAGCCAGGGGAGCGAACGGG
rnacentral:rRNA from 1 species